CUUCCCCAGCUAGUUUGAGGCUUUUUAACUCUGCUUUAGCCCUUUUGCUCCACAUAAAGGUGUCAGAGUGGGAGUGAGAAUUUCACCCCUUGUACUGCUUCUGGGGGCUCAUGCAACUGAAGGAGGAUCUUUAGAAUUGCACUUGAAAUGCACCAAGAUGGUUCUUUACAAGCCAGUUGACCUGUCCACCAUUGUCUACGGGUGUGAGGCCUGGGUAACCUACAGAUGACAUCUCAAGUGGCUGAAGUGGUUCCAGCAGUGCUGCCUCAGGAGGUAUCUCAGGAUCAUCUAGGAAGACCGACACACUAACAUCAGCUUUCUCUCUGCAGCCAACAACAGCAGGAUAGGAGCGCUGGACAUGAAAUACCAACUCUGUUGGGCUGGCUACUGUGUUACAAACUAACACAGCUACAUCCCUGAGGCCUCAGUCCAACAAACUGGAAGAGCUAGCGUGGAACAGAAUACAGUGGCGCAACACCAUACAUCAAGCCACAGCUUGUUUUGAGGCGGACUGAUGUGCUCAUGAGACAGAAGCAACAAAAAUAGGAAAGAGAGGGCAUAACAGUCCACAACUAUGUCUCCAAGAUUGUACCUGUCCUUUCUGUGGGAAAAAUCUAUAGGACAUGAAUUGGGCUCCUCAGCCACUUAAAAACCCACCAACAAAUCCCCUUGGCAAACAUCAGCCUAGCAUUGAGGGACAGCGGAAGAAGAAGAGCUGAAGACCUUCUAUUUAGCUGUGACCUGCUGAGGGCAAGUCUACACAUACCGCGCUGCAAUGAUGCGCCACUGCAGCGCAUCUGGUGAAGACGUUCUAUGCUGGCGAAAGAGAGUUCCUGUCAGCAUAAAUAAAACAACCUCUAUCAGCAUCAGAAUCUAUGGUUGGUGGGAGAGAGCUCACCUGCCAACUUAGCGCUGUUCACACCAUCACUUAUGUUGGUGUAACUUGUGACACUUGGGAGGGUGGUUUUUUUCACAUCCCUGAGCAACAUAAGUUCUCUCAACAUAAGGCGUAGGGUUGACAUUGCCUGACUACAUUUCCCAGACCUGAAGAAGAAGUUUUGUGUAUCUUGAAAGUUUGUCUAUUUCACAAAAAGAAGUUGGUUCAGAAAAAGGUACUGCCUCACUCACUGGCUACGUCUA